rnacentral:rRNA from 1 species
UGGCUCAGGAUGAACGUUAGCGGGAGGCUUAAUCAUGCAAGUCGAGCGGUAAGUUUUUAUAGCAAUAUGAAGACCUAGAGCGGCGCACGGGUGAGUAACGCGUACACGACCUGGCCUAAACUGGGGGAUAGCCUUGGGAAACUGAGAGUAAUCCCCACAUGUGAUUAUGUUACUGAUGGUGAUAUAAUUAAAGCUUCGGCGGUUUAGGAUGGGUGUGCGUCUGAUUAACUAGUUGGUAGUGUAACGGACUACCAAGGCGAUGAUCAGUAGGGGGCGUGAGAGCGUGACCCCCCCACACGGGUACUGAGACACGGACCCGACUCCUACGGGAGGCAGCAGUAAGGAAUAUUGGUCAACUGCCCCGGAAGGGUGAACCAGCCAUCCCGCGUGAAGGAUGAACGGGGCUCUGCCCUUGUAAACUUCUUUUGUAUGGGGCGAAAAAAGGGGAUUUAUCCUCGACUGACGGUACCAUAAGAAUAAGCACCGGCUAACUCCGUG